rnacentral:rRNA from 1 species
GAUGAACGCUGGCGGCGUGCCUAAUACAUGCAAGUCGAGCGAACACACGAUGAUCUUUUGCUUCUGACGUUAGCGGCGGGCGGGUGAGUAACACGUGCAUAACCUACCUAUAAUACUGUGAUAACUUCGGGAAUCCGGAGCUAAUACCGGAUAAUAUAUUGAACCACAUGGUUCAAUAGUGAAAUUCGGUUUUUCUGUCACUUAUAGAUGGAUGCGCGCCGCAUUAUAUAGUUGGUAAGGUAACGGCUUACCAAGGCAACGAUGCGUAGCCGACCUGAGAGGGGGAUAAGCCACACUGGAACUGAGACACGGUACAGACCACUACGGGAGGGAGCAGAAGGGAAUCGUAUGCAAUGGGAGAAAGGAUGACGGAGAACAGCCGAGUGGGUGAUAAAGGUCUUGGGCUCGUAAAACUAUGCUAUUAGGGAAGAACAAAUGUGUAAGUAACGAUGACCGUCUUGACGGUACUUAAUGAGAAAGCAACGGCUAACUACGUG